rnacentral:rRNA from 1 species
GGCCUUCGGGUCGUAAAGCCCUUUCAGCAGGGACGAAGCUCCGGCAGCGAACAGCUGUCCGGAGUGACGGUACCUGCAGAAGAAGCCCCGGCUAACUACGUGCCAGCAGCCGCGGUAAUACGUAGGGGGCUAGCGUUGUCCGGAAUCAUUGGGCGUAAAGCGCGCGUAGGCGGCCAGAUAAGUCCGGUGUGAAAGUCACAGGCUCAACCUGUGAAUGCCGCUGGAAACUGUCUGGCUAGAGUCCGGAAGGGGCGAGUGGAAUUCCUGGUGUAGCGGUGAAAUGCGCAGAUAUCAGGAGGAACACCAAUGGCGAAGGCAGCUCGCUGGGACGGUACUGACGCUGAGGCGCGAAAGCGUGGGGAGCAAACAGGAUUAGAUACCCUGGUAGUCCACGCCGUAAACGAUGGGCACUAGGUGUCGGAGGUGUCGACUCCUCCGGUGCCGAAGCUAACGCAUUAAGUGCCCCGCCUGGGGAGUACGGCCGCAAGGCUA